rnacentral:rRNA from 1 species
ACCUUCCUCUCAAUUUCCUUCCCUUUUUAUUGGGCCUAAAGCGUUCGUAGCCGGUUUGAUAAGUCUCUGGUGAAAUCCCGCAGCUUAACUGUGGGACUUGCUGGAGAUACUAUUAGACUUGAGGUCGGGAGAGGUUAGGGGUACUCCCAGGGUAGGGGUGAAAUCCUAUAAUCCUGGGAGGACCACCUGUGGCGAAGGCGCCUAACUGGAACGAACCUGACGGUGAGUAACGAAAGCCAGGGGCGCGAACCG